rnacentral:lncRNA from 1 species
UGGUGCAACCCGAAGACGAAGAAGAUGAAUCUGCCCCCUUCGACAGGGACUGGAUCAUGAACACAUCGUUCACUAGCUUCCUUUCUUCCACCAAUAGCCGGGCCUCCGCCGGGGCUUGGAAGCUAAGAAGCAACAAGAUGCCAGCAAUGGCUAUCACCCUGAAGAGAUUUCUGCUGACAGGUCUCAUGGUUAGAGGCUACUGAGAG